GCGUCUGAUUAGUUAGUUGGUGGGGUAACGGCCUACCAAGACGACGAUCAGUAGCCGACCUGAGAGGGUGAUCGGCCACAUUGGAACUGAGACACGGUCCAAACUCCUACGGGAGGCAGCAGUGGGGAAUAUUGCACAAUGGGCGAAAGCCUGAUGCAGCAACGCCGCGUGAGCGAUGAAGGCCUUUGGGUCGUAAAGCUCUGUCCUUGGGGAAGAAACAAAUGACGGUACCCAAGGAGGAAGCCCCGGCUAACUACGUGCCAGCAGCCGCGGUAAUACGUAGGGGGCAAGCGUUAUCCGGAAUUAUUGGGCGUAAAGAGUACGUAGGUGGUCUUUUAAGCGCGGGGUUUAAGGCAAUGGCUUAACCAUUGUUCGCCCUGUGAACUGGAAGACUUGAGUGUAGGAGAGGAAAGUGGAAUUCCUAGUGUAGCGGUGAAAUGCGUAGAUAUUAGGAGGAACAUCAGUGGCGAAGGCGACUUUCUGGACUAUUACUGACACUGAGGUACGAAAGCGUGGGGAGCAAACAGGAUUAGAUACCCUGGUAGUCCACGCCGUAAACGAUGAGCACUAGGUGUCGGGGUCGCAAGACUUCGGUGCCGUAGUUAACGCAUUAA
rnacentral:rRNA from 1 species